CAGUAGCCGCGGUAAUACAGAGGGUGCAAGCGUUAAUCGGAAUUACUGGGCGUAAAGCGCGCGUAGGUGGUUUGUUAAGUUGGAUGUGAAAGCCCCGGGCUCAACCUGGGAACUGCAUCCAAAACUGGCAAGCUAGAGUACGGUAGAGGGUGGUGGAAUUUCCUGUGUAGCGGUGAAAUGCGUAGAUAUAGGAAGGAACACCAGUGGCGAAGGCGACCACCUGGACUGAUACUGACACUGAGGUGCGAAAGCGUGGGGAGCAAACAGGAUUAGAUACCCGUGUAGUCCCUGUCUCUUAUAC
rnacentral:rRNA from 1 species